AUGGAUGGUACAAGAACUUCACUUGACAUUGAAGAGUACUCCAAUACUGAGGUACAGAAAAACCAAGUACUAACUCUGGAAGAAUGGCAAGACAAGUGGGUGAACGGCAACACUGCUUUUCAUCAGGAACAAGGACCUCAGCUAUUAAAGAAACAUUUAGAUACUUUUCUUAAAGGAGAGAGUGGACUGAGGGUAUUUUUUCCUCUUUGCAGAAAAGAGGUUGAGAUGAAAUGGUUUGCAGACCGGGGACACAGCGUAGUUGGUGUGGAAAUCAGUGAACUUGGGAUACGAGAAUUUUUUACAGAGCAGAAUCUAUCUUACUCAGAAGAACCAAUCACCGAAAUUCCUGGAACCAAAGCAUUUAAGAGUUCUUCGGGGAACAUUUCAUCAUACUGUUGCAGUAUUUUUGAUCUUCCCAGGACAAAUAUUGGCACAUUUGACAUGAUUUGGGAUAGAGGAGCAUUAGUUGCCAUUAAUCCAGGUGAUCGCAAAUGCUAUGCGGAUAUAAUGUUAUCCCUCCUGGGAAAGAAGUUUCAAUAUCUCCUGUGUGUCUUUCUUACGAUCCAACUAAACAUCCAGGUCCACCAUUUUAUGUUCCACAUGCUGAAAUUGAAAGGUUGUUUGGUAAAAUAUGCAAUAUACAUUGUCUUGAGAAGGUUGAUGCUUUUGAAGAAUGACAUAAAAAUUGGGGGAUUGACUAUCUUUCUGAAAAGUUAUAUCUACUUACAGAAAAGUAA
rnacentral:lncRNA from 1 species